GAUGAACGCUGGCGGCGUGCUUAACACAUGCAAGUCGAACGGGAUCGGCUGGAGCUUGCUCCGGCCGUGAGAGUGGCGAACGGGUGAGUAAUGCGUGACCGACCUGCCCCAUACACCGGAAUAGCUCCUGGAAACGGGUGGUAAUGCCGGAUGCUCCAGUUGGAUGCAUGUCCUUCUGGGAAAGAUUCAUCGGUAUGGGAUGGGGUCGCGUCCUAUCAGGUAGUCGGCGGGGUAACGGCCCACCGAGCCUACGACGGGUAGCCGGCCUGAGAGGGCGACCGGCCACAUUGGGACUGAGAUACGGCCCAGACUCCUACGGGAGGCAGCAGUGGGGAAUAUUGCACAAUGGGCGCAAGCCUGAUGCAGCGACGCCGCGUGCGGGAUGACGGCCUUCGGGUUGUAAACCGCUUUUGACUGGGAGCAAGCCCUUCGGGGUGAGUGUACCUUUCGAAUAAGCA
rnacentral:rRNA from 1 species